UAUGUGAUCGUCUCUCGCAUAUCAAUAAGCGGAGGAAAAGAAACUAACAAGGAUUCCCCUAGUAACGGCGAGUGGAGCGGGAGAGCUCAAAUUUGAAAUCUUAAAGGGUUUCCCUUUACGAAUUGUAGUUUAAAGAAGUGUUUUCUGUUGAGGUUUUGGUAAAAGUUCUUUGGAAUAGGACAUCAUAGAGGGUGAGAAUCCCGUAUUUGACCUUUACUUUCAACUUUGUGAUACACUUUCAAAGAGUCGGAUUGUUUGGGAAUGCAGUCCAAAAUGGGUGGUAAAUUUCAUCUAAAGCUAAAUAUUGGCGAGAGACCGAUAGCGAACAAGUACCGUGAGGGAAAGAUGAAAAGAACUUUGAAAAGAGAGUUAAACAGUACGUGAAAUUGUCAAAAGGGAAGCGUUUGACACCAGUGUUGUUUUUCUGAAAAUCAAUUAAAGAACUGUUUAUGCUAAGUUGUUUAGACUUUAUCAGCUAAUCUGUUUAGUUUUGAGCUUUUCUUUAAUGCACUUUUCAGUUAACAAGUCAACAUCAAUUUCUUUUGCUGUAAAAAAGCUUGAGGAAGGUGGCUUGAGAUUCGUCUUAAGUGUUUAUAGCCUCUUGCCUAUGCAGUCGGAGAGAUUGAGGUCUGCAGCGUAGAUCCUUCGGGGCUAAAUGCAUUUGUGCUAAGUUAUAGCAUUUUAUAGACAACUUGUUGACUAUGAUUUGUCUUGUAGCUUACUCGCUUAUGUUAUUUUACCUACGCUUAGGAUGUUGAUCUACAGAGCGAGAGU
rnacentral:rRNA from 1 species